UUUUAUGGAGAGUUUGAUCCUGGCUCAGGAUGAACGCUGGCGGCGUGCCUAAUACAUGCAAGUCGAGCGAACAGACGAGGAGCUUGCUCCUCUGACGUUAGCGGCGGACGGGUGAGUAACACGUGGAUAACCUACCUAUAAGACUGGGAUAACUUCGGGAAACCGGAGCUAAUACCGGAUAAUAUAUUGAACCGCAUGGUUCAAUAGUGAAAGACGGUUUUGCUGUCACUUAUAGAUGGAUCCGCGCCGCAUUAGCUAGUUGGUAAGGUAACGGCUUACCAAGGCAACGAUGCGUAGCCGACCUGAGAGGGUGAUCGGCCACACUGGAACUGAGACACGGUCCAGACUCCUACGGGAGGCAGCAGUAGGGAAUCUUCCGCAAUGGGCGAAAGCCUGACGGAGC
rnacentral:rRNA from 1 species